UACGAAGGGUGCAAGCGUUAAUCGGAAUUACUGGGCGUAAAGCGUGCGUAGGCGGUUGGCUAGGUCAGAUGUGAAAGCCCUGGGCUCAACCUGGGAAUGGCAUUUGAAACUGGCCGGCUAGAGUGUGAUAGAGGAUGGCGGAAUUCCGGUGUAGCGGUGAAAUGCGUAGAGAUCGGGAGGAACAUCCGUGGCGAAGGCGGCCAUCUGGAUCAACACGUGACGCUGAGGCACGAAAGC
rnacentral:rRNA from 1 species